rnacentral:rRNA from 1 species
GUCGAGCGGUAACAUUUCUAGCUUGCUAGAAGAUGACGAGCGGCGAACGGGUGAGUAAUGCUUGGGAAUAUGCCUUAUGGUGGGGGACAACAGUUGGAAACGACUGCUAAUACCGCAUAAUGUCUACGGACCAAAGGGGGGGAUCUUCGGACCUCUCGCCAUUUGAUUAGCCCAAGUGAGAUUAGCUAGUUGGUGAGGUAAUGGCUCACCAAGGCGACGAUCUCUAGCUGGUUUGAGAGGAUGAUCAGCCACACUGGGACUGAGACACGGCCCAGACUCCUACGGGAGGCAGCAGUGGGGAAUAUUGCACAAUGGGCGCAAGCCUGAUGCAGCCAUGCCGCGUGUGUGAAGAAGGCCUUCGGGUUGUAAAGCACUUUCAGUAAGGAGGAAAGGGAUGUAGUUAAUAACUGCAUUCUGUGACGUUACUUACAGAAGAAGCACCGGCUAACUUCGUGCCAGCAGCCGCGGUAAUACGAGGGGUGCAAGCGUUAAUCGGAAUUACUGGGCGUAAAGCGUUCGUAGGCGGUUGAUUAAGCAAGAUGUGAAAGCCCAGGGCUCAACCUUGGAACUGCAUUUUGAACUGGUCAACUAGAGUACUGUAGAGGGUGGUGGAAUUUCCAGUGUA